GUCAUAAUGGCCGAGUUGGUAUAAGGCGCUCGUUUUAGGUACUGGUCCAAACGGGCAGGGGUUCGAAUCCCAUUCUUGACA
rnacentral:tRNA from 1 species